rnacentral:lncRNA from 1 species
AGGAGGUUUCAGAAGUUCAAGUUAAAACAAUAAUGAGCCCCUUUAUCAUUUUUUAUUGCAUCUGUUUGGUUAUUCUCUCUUUUCUUUUAUCAGUCUGGCUAGUGGUCUGUCUAUUUUGUUGAUCUUUUCAAAAAACCAGCUCUUGGAUUUAUUGAUUUUUUGAAGGGUUUUUCGUGUCUCUUUCUCCUUCAGUUCUGCUCUGAUCUUAGUUAUUUCUUGUCUUUUGCUAGGUUUUCAGUUUUUUUGAUCUUGCUCCUCUAGCUC